rnacentral:rRNA from 1 species
CUACGGGGGGCUCCAGUUAAGUAUCUUUUGCAAUGCGCGCAAGCGUGACAAAGUGAGCCAGAGUGAUUUUCCAUAAUGGAAUAUCUUUUGCCAAAUGUAAAUAGUUUGGCGAAUAAGGACUGGGAACAGACCGGUGCCAGCCGCCGCGGUAAUACCGGCAGUUCAAGUCGCAGCCACAUUUAUUGGGUCUAAAACAUCUGUAGCUUGCUUUGCAAGUUUUCUGUGAAAUUCUAUAUCUUAAAUAUAGAGCGAGCAGGAAAUACUGCAGAGCUAGAGACUGGAAGAUGUAAGGAGAAUGUGUGGGGUACCGGUAAAAUGGGUUGAUCCUAUGCAGACUAACGAUAGCGAAGGCACCUUACAAGUACAGAUCUGACAGUGAGAGAUGAAGGCUAGGGUCGCGAAAGGGAUUAGAUACCCCUGUAGUC